CCGUGUCUUAUAUGAAAUUUUUUUAUAAUUAGUAUUUUCAUUGUUGUUAGAUGAUAAAACAUGAUUAAUACUUUAUGCAUGACUUACCUUUUUAAUUUUUUUCAUAAUUUUUUUAAAUAAGACGAAUGG
rnacentral:pre_miRNA from 1 species